CCUACGGGUGGCAGCAGUGGGGAAUCUUGGGCAAUGGAGGCAACUCUGACCCAGCAAUGCCGCGUGAGUGAUGAAGGUAAUUUUAUUGUAAAGCUCUUUUCUUUGGAACGAAUAAAUGACGGUACCACAGGAAUAAGCCCCGGCUAACUACGUGCCAGCAGCCGCGGUAAUACGUUGGGGGCAAGCGGUGUUCGGGAUGACUGGGCGGAAAGGGGGGGGAGGUGGUUUGAUAAGUUAGAUGUGUAAUACCCAGGGCUUAACUCGGGUGGUGCAUCUAAACCUGUUAGACUUGAGUACUGGAGAGGAGAGUGGAAUUCCAAGUGUAGCGGUGGAAUGCGUAGAUAUUAGGAGGAACAUCAGUGGCGAAGGCGACUAUCUGGACAGCAACUGACACUGAGGCACGAAAGCGUGGGGAGCAAACAGGAUUAGAUACCCGAGUAGUC
rnacentral:rRNA from 1 species